AGUGAACGCUGGCGGUAGGCCUAACACAUGCAAGUCGAACGGCAGCACAGGGGAGCUUGCCCUCUAGGUGGCGAGUGGCGGACGGGUGAGGAAUACAUCGGAAUCUGCUCAGUCGUGGGGGUUAACGUAGGGAAACUUACGCUAAUACCGCAUACGUCCUUCGGGUGAAAGAGGGGGAUUGCAAGACGUCUCGCGAUUGGAUGAGACGAUGUCGGAUUAGCUAGUUAGCGGGGUAAUGGCCUACCAAGGCGACGAUCCGUAGCUGGUCUGAGAGGGUGAUCAGCCACACUGGAACUGAGACACGGUCCAGACUCCUACGGGAGGCAGCAGUGGGGAAUAUUCCACAAUGGGCGCAAGCCUGAUCCAGCCAUACCGCGUGAGUGAAGAAGGCCUUCGGGUUGUAAAGCCCUGUUGUUGGGAAAGAAAUCAUGCAGGCUAAUACCCGGGGAGGAUGACGGUACCCAAAGAAUAAGCCCCGGCUAACUUCGUG
rnacentral:rRNA from 1 species